AUGCCACAACAUCAUCUUUACUAGUAUCAUCAAAUGAUUAUUAUCAUCAUAAUUAUACAAACUAGAUCAAAUAAAAAGUUACAAAAAGAAGAAGAAAGAAAUCAUCACCACACCAAGGUUUGAUUCAUCUUCAAUAUCAACAUCUUCUGGAAAUGUAAGCAGCUUCAUCCAAAAUCAAAAGGACAUAUAGUACAUAUAUAACACUCACAACACAACAACAAAACGACAAAAAACACUCAUC
rnacentral:lncRNA from 1 species